rnacentral:lncRNA from 1 species
CCCAGGAUGGACACCCCCCGCCCCCAGGGGCUUUGCCCUGUUGGUGCUAUCUGGGAAUAAACACCGCUGCUGCAGAGCGCCUGCCCUGAUGGCUGCUGCCUGUCCCAAGGAGGGCUCCCCUAGGUGUCCUUCCUAGGGUCCCUAAAGGGCCUCGGAGUGCUCCUUUCCGACUUGUACUCCCUUCCCACCCCAGCAGGCCCCACAGUGUCUAGCAUCUACCCUCAACCCCAGCCUCUGGAUGAGGCAAGAGGGAGCCGAUGGAGUGUGUUGCUCGAGGACCUGUGCUCAAGGAAGGACUCUUGGAGGUCUAGGAACAGCACAGGGCGCUUAGGCUCUCCGAGGUGGAGUGAGUUCGGUGCUGAAGUUUAAGGACAAUUGGAACACUCUGAGGAUCCCUCUUCUCUUCUCAGACCCUCUGACACCUCACAAUGUGCCUUCUCCAAAGCUCUGUUUUCACAACUGAAAAGGAGAAGGUAUUUAGAAUACUAAGUUAUGCUCACAUGUAGAAUAUAGAGUGUGGCAGAUGAGGGUGUGUGUUCACCUAUAUGCCCACGUGUGAUGUGUGUACAUAGGCUACCACUAUAGUUCCAUCAGUUCUGCGUACAUCCCUGGAAAACCGAGGUCACUUCCUGUCCCCUGGAAGGGAAUAUGUUGGCUAGGAGUCUCCGUGAGCAUCCAGAGCAUCCAUUGUGCUCAUCUCACAACCAUUCCCCCUUUCCUGGGCCCCAAACUAUAAAUAACCAUGGCUCUUGCUCCAAGUACCUACUGGAAAUGAGGAUUUUAUGCUAUCAGUUCUCUAGAGCAGAACACGGGGUCAAUGGAACAUAUCUGGGGGACAACAAGAGCCUUAGGGCUAGGAAAGCAGGUGUGCCCAGGAAGGGUGGAAACCUGUCUUUCCAUUCUCUGAACAUCCCUCCCUUGUUUCUUUCCUUCCUUCUAACCUAACAUUCUGGCAGAGAUUUAAAUUAGAUGAUGGAGACUUGGUAAAUACUUAUGCCAAGAUGGGUGUCACACAUCAGUUAAAAGAGUAAGCCAUAAUUGGAGUUCUAAGAUGGCACGGUAUUCUAACUUAAUUUCUGCUGAUCUGGCAAAUACUUUGAUGAAAAGCAACAUGUGGGAGGAAAGCUUGCAAUUCCAGGUCAUAGUCCAUGAUAG